CGCGUGCGCAGAGCGCCGGCGCGUGCAGCGGGGGCGCGCGCCGGGCCGUGAGGGCAGCGGCGGGAACGUGAGGGGAGCGACCGGGAGAGGUCCCCAGGAGAGUAAGACUGAGGGGAGGCAGCAAGAGCACAGAACUCUCGCGGGUUCGGCGCAGGGGGAAGGCGCCUCCAUCCCGUGUGCGGAGCUGCGCCCCGGAGCCGCGUGCCUCUGGAAAGGCCGAGGGAGCAGGAGCGGGGGCAGAGCCCUCAUUUGAGCACCAGGAAGUAGGUGGUCCAGCCGGCCAGCAGCAGCGCCCCGAGCAGCACGGUGUAGCUGAACAGCACGAAGGCCAGCAGCUCCCGCAGCACCUUGAGGAAGUGGAUGGCAAAGGAGUCUGGCAUGGCUCUCCCGGCUCCCAACUCCUCCCUGGCCUGGAAGCAGAGGAACAAGAGGGAAGUAGUACCCAACUCUUGCAGACUGAAGAGAGCAAUUCCUGUUGUGGGAUCUAUGGGCUCACACAGCACAAGCCUGGAUUAGGCAAGCUCUGAGCAGAGGGAAAGCCCCAGAAGAGAGGUGUGGGAGAAAUGAGGAACCACAUUACUACAGGCUCCUUAAAAGGUGAUUUGACCAACACCACUCGGAACAGUCCAUCCCAGGGCAGGGGAACAGACUGGAACAGCUUCCUGGUUUUUCUCUGGGUGGGGGAUCAUUGUGGGAGCAGCUUGAGCUGCCAGUCCCAGCCCUGCUGAACACAGACUGUGAAUUAUCUGGUGCACUGAUGGACACAGG